rnacentral:rRNA from 1 species
GAUGAACGCUGGCGGCGUGCCUAAUACAUGCAAGUCGAGCGAACGGACGAGGAGCUUGCUCCUCUGACGUUAGCGGCGGACGGGUGAGUAACACGUGGAUAACCUACCUAUAAGACUGGGAUAACUUCGGGAAACCGGAGCUAAUACCGGAUAAUAUAUUGAACCGCAUGGUUCAAUAGUGAAAGACGGUUUUGCUGUCACUUAUAGAUGGAUCCGCGCCGCAUUAGCUAGUUGGUAAGGUAACGGGUUACCAAGGCAACGAUGCGUAGCCGACCUGAGAGGGUGAUCGGCCACCCUGGAACUGAGACACGGUCCAGACUCCUACGGGAGGCAGCAGUAGGGAAUCUUCCGCAAUGGGCGAAAGCCUGACGGAGCAACGCCGCGUGAGUGAUGAAGGUCUUCGGAUCGUAAAACUCUGUUAUUAGGGAAGAACAAAUGUGUAAGUAACUAUGCACGUCUUGACGGUACCUAAUCAGAAAGCCACGGCUAACUACGUG